GUGCCAGCAGCCGCGGUAAUACGUAGGGUGCAAGCGUUAAUCGGAAUUACUGGGCGUAAAGCGUGCGCAGGCGGUUUUGUAAGUCUGUCGUGAAAGCCCCGGGCUUAACCUGGGAAUUGCGAUGGAGACUGCAAGGCUUGAAUCUGGCAGAGGGGGGUAGAAUUCCACGUGUAGCAGUGAAAUGCGUAGAGAUGUGGAGGAACACCGAUGGCGAAGGCAGCCCCCUGGGUCAAGAUUGACGCUCAUGCACGAAAGCGUGGGGAGCAAACAGGAUUAGA
rnacentral:rRNA from 1 species